GAUGGGAGACGCUCCAAUAACAAUCAAAUUCCAUGAGGGGAAUGCUCCAGUUUCCUCCUCCAGACACCCGGAGGAGUUUUUGGUGGGCCAGUUUCCUCAACGCUAUAUGGGUAUCAGCCGGGACUAGCCAGAAAAGCUGUAGCAACAACCGACUUCCCUCAGAGAUGCUGUUCAAUGCAUGCCCUGGCCUUGAGGAUCAUCCCCUUGCAGUGUGAGCACAGACAAGUUAAUCACCAGACUUGCCCCACCGGAUUGAGCUGUGUGGGCCAUGUGGCCAUU